GACGAACGCUGGCGGCGUGCUUAACACAUGCAAGUCGAACGGAAAGGCCCUGCUUUUGUGGGGUGCUCGAGUGGCGAACGGGUGAGUAACACGUGAGUAACCUGCCCUUGACUUUGGGAUAACUUCAGGAAACUGGGGCUAAUACCGGAUAGGAGCUCCUGCUGCAUGGUGGGGGUUGGAAAGUUUCGGCGGUUGGGGAUGGUCUCGCGGCUUAUCAGCUUGUUGGUGGGGUAGUGGCUUACCAAGGCUUUGACGGGUAGCCGGCCUGAGAGGGUGACCGGCCACAUUGGGACUGAGGUACGGCCCAGAAUCGUACGGGAGGCAGCGGUGGGGAAUAUUGCAGAAUGGGCGGAAGCCUGAUGCAGCGACGCCGCGUGCGGAAUGACGGCCUUCGGGUUGUAAACCGCUUUCGCCUGUGACGAAGCGUGAGUGACGGUAAUGAGUAAAGAAGCACCGGCUAACUACGUG
rnacentral:rRNA from 1 species